AGGAAGUAGACUGAGCAAUUCUUCAUCCGGCGAGAGCCACUUCCGGUCAGAACAUCAAUGACCGCCAUUUGAAUCAACAAAAGGAGCUGUAACACUGUGAGGGUCUGGUCAGCUGCUUCAUUCUUGAAGUCAGUGAGACCGCAAACCCACCAGAAGGAACCAACUCCGGACACAGAGGGACUAGAUAAUACUGGCUGAAUGAAGGAAUAUGAACAAGGCCACUUG
rnacentral:lncRNA from 10 species